rnacentral:misc_RNA from 1 species
GAUGAAGAACGUAGCGAAAUGCGAUACUUGGUGUGAAUUGCAGAAUCCCGUGAACCAUCGAGUCUUUGAACGCAAGUUGCGCCCGAAGCCAUUAGGCCGAGGGCACGCCUGCCUGGGCGUCACACGUCGUUGCCCCCCCAUCUACUCCUUCGGGAUUGCGAGGGGCGGAUGAUGGCCUCCCGUGCGCCUCGUCGCGCGGUUGGCAUAAAUGCCAAGUCCUCGGCGACGCACGCCACGACAAUCGGUGGUUGCGAAACCUCGGUUGCCCGUCGUGUGCGGUCGUCGCGCAUCGAGGGCUCGAAAAAAUUGCCGGGCUCCGGCUCGGCUUUCAACGCGACCCCAGGUCAGGCGGGGUUACCCGCUGAAUUUAAGCAUAUCAAUAGCGGAGGA